rnacentral:rRNA from 1 species
UACGUAGGGUGCAAGCGUUAAUCGGAAUUACUGGGCGUAAAGCGUGCGCAGGCGGUUUUGUAAGUCUGUCGUGAAAGCCCCGGGCUCAACCUGGGAAUUGCGAUGGAGACUGCAAGGCUUGAAUCUGGCAGAGGGGGGUAGAAUUCCACGUGUAGCGGUGAAAUGCGCAGAUAUCAGGAGGAACACCGAUGGCGAAGGCAGCCCCCUGGGUCAAGAUUGACGCUCAUGCACGAAAGCGUGGGGAGCAAACAGG